rnacentral:rRNA from 1 species
AUACGGAGGGGGCUAGCGUUGUUCGGAAUUACUGGGCGUAAAGCGUACGUAGGCGGAUUAAAAAGUUAGAGGUGAAAUCCCAGGGCUUAACCCUGGAACUGCCUUUAAAACUAGUAGUCUAGAGUUCGAGAGAGGUGAGUGGAAUUCCAAGUGUAGAGGUGAAAUUCGUAGAUAUUUGGAGGAACACCAGUGGCGAAGGCGGCUCACUGGCUCGAUACUGACGCUGAGGUGCGAAAGCGUGGGGAGCAAACAGGAUUAGAAACCCCGGUAGUCC